UUCCGGUUGAUCCUGCCGGACCCCACUGCUAUCGGGAUAGGACUAAGACAUGCUAGUCGAGCGCCUCCCAGCCACGACGGAGGCGCGGCGCACAGCUCAGUAACACGUGGCUAACCUGCCCUCGGGACGGGAAUACCCCCGGGAAACUGGGGCUAAUCCCCGAUAGGUGAAGAACUCUGGAAUGAGUCUCCGCCCAAAGGACGCUUAAAUCAUGCUUUUAGGCGCCGCCCAAGGAUGGGGCCGCGACCGAUCAGGUAGUUGGUGAGGCAACGGCUCACCAAGCCUUUAACCGGUGCGGGCCGUGGGAGCGGGAGCCCGGAGAUGGGCACUGAGACAAGGGCCCAGGCCCUACGGGGCGCAGCAGUCGCGAAAACUUUGCAAUACACGAAAGUGUGACAGGGCUAUCCCGAGUGCCAUCCGCUGAGGAAGGCUUUUACCCAGUCUAGAAAGCUGGGAGAAUAAGGAGAGGGCAAGUCUGGUGUCAGCCGCCGCGGUAAUACCAGCUCUCCGAGUGGUGUGGAUGUUUAUUGGGCCUAAAGCAUCCGUAGCUGGCCAAGUUAGUCCCCUGUUAAAUCCACCGGAUUAAUCGUUGGAGUGCGGGGGAUACUGCUCGGCUAGGGGACGAGAGAGGCCGACGGUAUUUUCGGGGUAGGGGUGAAAUCCUAUAAUCCCGGGAAGACCACCAGUGGCGAAGGCUGUCGGCUAGAACGCGCCCGACGGUGAGGGAUGAAAGCUGGGGGAGCGAACCGGAUUAGAUACCCGGGUAGUCCCAGCUGUAAACGAUGCAGGCUAGGUGUUUGGGCGGCCACGGGCCGCUCUAGUGCCGCAGGGAAGCUGUUAAGCCUGCCGCCUGGGGAGUACGGCCGCAAGGCUGAAACUUAAAGGAAUUGGCGGGGGAGCACCACAAGGGGUGAAGCUUGCGGUUUAAUUGGAGUCAACGCCGGG
rnacentral:rRNA from 1 species